rnacentral:rRNA from 1 species
UACAGAGGGUGCAAGCGUUAAUCGGAAUUACUGGGCGUAAAGGGCGCGUAGGCGGUGUAAUAAGUUAGUUGUGAAAUCCCUGGGCUUAACCUGGGAAUGGCAACUGAGACUGUUGUACUAGAGUAGAGUAGAGGGAAGUGGAAUUUCCGGUGUAGCGGUGAAAUGCGUAGAUAUCGGAAGGAACACCAGUGGCGAAGGCGACUUUCUGGACUCAUACUGACGCUGAGGCGCGAGAGCGUGGGGAGCAAACAGG